rnacentral:misc_RNA from 1 species
UGAAAGUAAAAAAUAUUAUUAAUUAAUAAAAAUAAUAAGAAAAUAUUGUAAUAGAAUAAAAAUAUAAUUUAAAGAUAUAAAACAAUUUGAUGUUGGUUAAAUUGUAUGAUAUUUUUAUCAUUUUAAAAAAAUUAAUUUUUCCUUUCUCCUCUCUCUUUGUAUGUCACAACCAGAAUAGCUUCAUAGUAGUUUAAUAUCAUAAUCUAACUGAAGAAAUUAACUAAGGUAACAACAAAAGAUAGAAAAUGAUCAUGAAAGCAGAGGAAAGGAAUACUAAUAAUGAUAACUGACAAGAUUGAUAUAUUUGUCUCUUAAUUUAAUUCUCUUUUCUUUUAUGUUUUGGUAUUUUUUCUUGUUUGUAAUCUCAAAGUUAUGUCCAUAUCCAAAACAUGAUAUAAUUUCUCUAAAUCUGUGUGUGUGUGCAUUCAUUUUUGGUAAAAAAAAAUGAUCUAAAAUCAUUUUAUUUCAUAUAAUUAUUAUUUUAUAUAUUUCUAUUCAGAGGGAACAAUAAUUCAUGAACAUAGAUAGACAGCGUUCCGUAAUGGAAUUCUUCUCUUCAGUCUUAUUCUAACAUCUCUUUGCAUUGGUGGCUAAAGUAGGGAGAUAAUAUUGGGCGGCCGGCUGAGGAAAUGGAGAGAGAGAUCAACGAAAAACUUUUGACAGAAGCGGAGAAUUCUGAAGUUGAGGAAGUGAAGUUCAAGGACAAGCUAUGGAC